GCCCGCCUAGCUCAAUCGGAUAGAGCGUCAGACUUUUACGGCGGGUUGAAUAACCAGGUCGGUUAUCUGAAGGCUGCGGGUUCGACCCCCGCGGUGGGCU